GAUGAACGCUGGCGGCGUGCCUAAUACAUGCAAGUCGAGCGAACAGACGAUGAGCUUGCUCCUCUGACGUUAGCGGCGGACGGGUGAGUAACACGUGGAUAACCUACCUAUAAGACUGGGAUAACUUCGGGAAACCGGAGCUAAUACCGGAUAAUAUAUUGAACCGCAUGGUUCAAUAGUGAAAGACGGUUUUGCUGUCACUUAUAGAUGGAUCCGCGCCGCAUUAGCUAGUUGGUAAGGUAACGGCUUACCAAGGCAACGAUGCGUAGCCGACCUGAGAGGGUGAUCGGCCACACUGGAACUGAGACACGGUCCAGACUCCUACGGGAGGCAGCAGUAGGGAAUCUUCCGCAAUGGGCGAAAGCUUGACGGAGCAACGCCGCGUGAGUGAUGAAGGUCUUAGGAUCGUAAAACUCUGUUAUUAGGGAAGAACAAAUGUGUAAGUAACUAUGCACGUCUUGACGGUACCUAAUCAGAAAGCCACGGCUAACUACGUG
rnacentral:rRNA from 1 species